rnacentral:rRNA from 1 species
AUUGAACGCUGGCGGCAUGCCUUACACAUGCAAGUCGAACGGCAGCACGGGAGCAAUCCUGGUGGCGAGUGGCGAACGGGUGAGUAAUAUAUCGGAACGUGCCCAGUAGUGGGGGAUAACUGCUCGAAAGAGCAGCUAAUACCGCAUACGACCUGAGGGUGAAAGGGGGGGAUCGCAAGACCUCUCGCUAUUGGAGCGGCCGAUAUCAGAUUAGCUAGUUGGUGGGGUAAAGGCCUACCAAGGCAACGAUCUGUAGUUGGUCUGAGAGGACGACCAGCCAAACUGGGACUGAGACACGGCCCAGACUCCUACGGGAGGCAGCAGUGGGGAAUUUUGGACAAUGGGCGCAAGCCUGAUCCAGCAAUGCCGCGUGCAGGAAGAAGGCCUUCGGGUUGUAAACUGCUUUUGUCAGGGAAGAAAUCCUCUAGGUUAAUACCCUUGGGGGGAUGACGGUACCUGAAGAAUAAGCACCGGCUAACUACGUGCCAGCCGCCGCAGUAAGAC